CCCUAAAUGUAAACAUGUAAGGGAGGCUCAUCUGCCAUCUUCCAGUUGGUUUACUGUGCACGGAGGAGUCCGCAGGCAUUCUGCCUCCUAGGAGACCUUCACAUGUGAGGUUGGAUAUUUACCAGGACACUCUCUAGGUGCAGGUGUCUCGUGUGAUGUCUGCAGAGACCACCAAAGUCGUCCAGAAGGUCUCAGGGUCCUCAGAAGAUUUUUCCAAUUUUUGUGUUUUCAUUUCCAGAAGAGUUUUUGAAAGUCGAGGACCAGUUAUUAAAAAAAAAAAAAAAAAAAAGGAAACAACAAGAGCCCCCCUCUCAGUGCUAUUUGCAGCGGAGAAGGGAUUCCUCAACGGCCAAGGGCUUCCCGCCGCCUCCCGCAGUCUGGGGCCAUGCCGCGGGGAUGGAGCACAGCCUUCGGAUUGAGGGAGAACUCGUGUCCCUGCAGAGGAAGCCCCACACGAGGCUGCAGGCUGAAACAGGUGCAUCUCCGCGGAGUCGGUGGCCCCGUGCAAGGACUGCUCUGACGUCUACACUGAGGUCUCUGUAAGGGGAGAGGACCCCUCACCGGCUCCGGCAGGGACUGGAACCGGCUGGUGGUUAAACAUGAUGCGGACGGAUCACCAAGUAUUAAAAAUGCUUCUGUUUCUGGCG